rnacentral:rRNA from 1 species
UACGUAGGGGGCAAGCGUUGUCCGGAAUCAUUGGGCGUAAAGAGCGUGUAGGCGGCCCGAUAAGUCCGCCGUGAAAGUCCAGGGCUCAACCCUGGAAUGCCGGUGGAAACUGUCGGGCUGGAGUCCGGAAGAGGCGAGUGGAAUUCCUGGUGUAGCGGUGAAAUGCGCAGAUAUCAGGAGGAACACCGAUGGCGAAGGCAGGUCUCUUGGCAUUAACUGACGCUGAGGAGCGAAAGCAUGGGGAGCGAACAGG